GUGGGGAAUAUUGGACAAUGGGGGAAACCCUGAUCCAGCCAUGCCGCGUGAAUGAUGAAGGCCUUCGGGUUGUAAAGUUCUUUUGGAGGGGACGAUGAUGACGGUACCCUCAGAAUAAGCUCCGGCUAACUUCGUGCCAGCAGCCGCGGUAAUACGAAGGGAGCUAGCGUUGUUCGGAAUUACUGGGCGUAAAGGGCGCGUAGGCGGUUUGGUCAGUCAGAUGUGAAAGCCUAUGGCUUAACCCUGGAACUGCGUUUGAUACUGCCAAGCUUGAAUUCGGGAGAGGUGAGUGGAAUUCCCAGUGUAGAGGUGAAAUUCGUAGAUAUUGGGAAGAACACCAGUGGCGAAGGCGGCUCACUGGACCGACAUUGACGCUGAGGCGCGAAAGCGUGGGGAGCAAACAGGAUUAGAUACCCGUGUAGUCC
rnacentral:rRNA from 1 species